GAUGAACGCUGGCGGCGUGCCUAAUACAUGCAAGUCGAACGCUGAAGGAGGAGCUUGCUCUUCUGGAUGAGUUGCGAACGGGUGAGUAACGCGUAGGUAACCUGCCUGGUAGCGGGGGAUAACUAUUGGAAACGAUAGCUAAUACCGCAUGACAACAGUUAUUGCAUGAUAACUGUUUAAAAGGGGCAACUGCUCCACUACCAGAUGGACCUGCGUUGUAUUAGCUAGUUGGUGAGGUAACGGCUCACCAAGGCGACGAUACAUAGCCGACCUGAGAGGGGGAGCGGCCACACUGGGACUGAGACACGGCCCAGACUCCUACGGGAGGCAGCAGUAGGGAAUCUUCGGCAAUGGACGGAAGUCUGACCGAGAAACGCCGCGUGAGUGAAGAAGGUUGUCGGAUCGUAAAGCUCUGUUGUAAGAGAAGAACGAGUGUGAGAGUGGAAAGUUCACACUGUGACGGUAUCUUACCAGAAAGGGACGGCUAACUACGUG
rnacentral:rRNA from 1 species